UACAGAGGGUGCAAGCGUUGUUCGGAUUUACUGGGCGUAAAGGGCGCGCAGGCGGCUCAUUUUGUCAGGCGUGAAAGCCCCGGGCUUAACCUGGGAACUGCGUUUGAUACGGAUGGGCUAGAGUUCGGGAGAGGAGAGUGGAAUUCCCAGUGUAGAGGUGAAAUUCGUAGAUAUUGGGAAGAACACCGGUGGCGAAGGCGGCUCUCUGGACCGAUACUGACGCUGAGGCGCGAAAAGCGUGGGGAGCAAACAGG
rnacentral:rRNA from 1 species